rnacentral:rRNA from 1 species
UACAGAGGUCUCAAGCGUUGUUCGGAUUCAUUGGGCGUAAAGGGUGCGUAGGCGGCGCGGUAAGUCAGUGGUGAAAUCUCCGGGCUUAACCCGGAAACUGCCAUUGAUACUAUAGAUCUUGAAUAUCCUGGAGGUGAGCGGAAUAUGUCAUGUAGCGGUGAAAUGCUUAGAUAUGACAUAGAACACCAAUUGCGAAGGCAGCUCACUACGGGAUCAUUGACACUGAGGCACGAAAGCGUGGGGAUCAAACAGG